CCGGGCCCUUUCCCCCCCCCCUCCCGGAGGCAGCUCGUCGGGGUGCGCGGCCCGGGGGUCGCGGCGGGGCGGCGGCGGCGGGGGCGCCGCGGGGCUGGGCCCGGGGGUCGCGGCGGGGCGGCGGGCGGCGGGCGGCGGGCGGGCGGGCGGCAGCGAGGCAGCUGCCGCCUCUGUGCUCGGCUCCGCUGCGCUCCGCUCCCCGGUGUGUUGAUUCUUCCCCCAGCUGCUGCCUAAUGGAGUCCAGGCGCUGGCGUCACAGGAAAUGCCUAUACUGCCCUCCUCACUCACUUCCGGCGGCAGUCCGUCUUUCCACACGGAGCUCACCUGGGACGGCCUCCGGGGAGCCUGUGCUGACCUCCAGCCUGCCAGCCCUCAUGAAUGUAGAGUCCUUGAAGGGGGGGGUCUUAUUCCCUAUUAUUUCCCAGGGCACCGUAGGCACUUCACAGAUAUUUGCUAGAUGAUUCUUCCAUCCAUCCAUUCAUCCACCCACCCACCCACCCAUCCAUCCAUCAGUCCGUCCGUCCAUCCAUCCAUCCAUCCUUUCCACUCAUGCUAAUACUCACUGUAUUCAAGGCACUCUUCUGCCUGCUAGAUACAUGCAGUGAACAAGACACAGAAUUUGUAUUUCCACUGAGCUUAUAUGCUCAUGAGAGAAGACAGGCAACAAAGAAAUAAAGAAGCAGGAAAGAUGUCAGGCGGUGUGGAUACUAGGCUGAGAAUUGAAGCAGGGUCAUGCGACACAGAAUGCAUGGGUAGCUUGUUGAGUGGCCAGAGAGGGCCUCUCUGAGGGGCACCCCGGAGGCUGGGAGGCUCAUGAGCGGCCUUUGUGAAGAUCAGGGCCAAGAGCAUUCCAGGCAGCUGGCAGAGGCUACCAAGCCUUAGGGUUAGAAUCAGCUGACUUAGAAUACCAACAGUGGUUACCUAAGGCCAAGUUACAGAGGAGGAAAUGUCUCUAAGAGAGACAGAACCAAAGAGAGAGAUUAUGACUGGUUAUGGAAUCAAAGCUAAUUCGUUUGUAACACGUACUGGAGUCCUGGCCCACGUGGCUCAGAUGGUUGAAGCAUCCUUCUGUACACCAAAAGGUGGCAGGUUCAAUUCCUGGUCAGGGCACGUGCAUGAGGCAGCUGAGAGAUGUUUCUCUCUCACAUCAAUGUUUCUCUCUCACUCUCACUCUCUCUCACACCUCUCUCCCCCCCCUUCGUCUCUCCAAAAUCAAUAAAAUAAUCAGUAAGAAACACACAUACAGGAUUCUUACCCAGUGGCAAAAUAAAAAGGCCCCGUUGUUCACAGCUUUUGCACAAUUGCAGUUGGGAGUGUAGGCGCCGACCACCCUCUCCCCCCUCGCUGGGCCAUCCGUGUCGGCAUGGCCGUGUAAAGAAGCGGCCCAGUCAGAAUUCACGUGGCUUUCUGCUCUUCGUGCCUUCAGUUGGCCCAAGAAUGCGAACACUUUUCUGUCCUCUGAAAUGUGCCUAUUUUUAACCUUUGCAGUGGGGGGAGAAAAGUCUUUAAUUUACCUAUUGUUCAUUAUUUUCCAGCUUAAUAUUUUUUAUUUUUUUUAUUCCCUUCCCUGUGGUCCCCUCCUCGCCUCCCCCGCGGGGGAUAAAGGUGCUGUAUCAGAAGCCCUGUGUGUGCUUUGUGCAGCGAGAGCCGUGUGCACACACGUGGGCCGUGGCUGGGGUUACGUAACCAGAGAUGUGCUGGGUGCAGUUGGCUCAGGCGGAAGGCCACGAUGUGGCAACUGCAGGUCUGCCUGUCGGUAGCUGAGGGUGGGCUUGCAAAGCAAGAAUCCUGGCUCAGGGCAACCUGUUGGCCAGCUUUGUUUUCUGACUCAGAAUCUUCCUUCGAAACCCCAGGUUUUGGGUUCGAAAGAUAGUUCUGGUUUGUGGACAAACGGUCCCUGCCAAGGUCACAGGAGACAUACAAUUCUUAUUUUCUCCAGGGGGUGGGCAGCUGUCACAGAGGAGAUCUGGCCUGAUCAGUGUUCAUAUUCUCGUGGUUAUGUCAACCAGCUGGCUUGGCCACACCAAGGCCGUGUCUGGACAGUGUAAUUAACCCUUCUGUGGCACAAUCUGUGUUUAUUUUUUUUCCUUUUAAUGUUUCUGGUUAUUCUUGUGAGAGUUGACUAUCUAGAAAGCUUAUUUAAUUAUGCAGUAUAAUAAUUCAGGAGUGAAUAGAAUUAAAACAAUAUAUAGAUAUAUGUAUUUAUUGAUUUCAGAGAGAAAGGGAAGAGGGAGAGAGCGAUAGAAACAUCAAUGAUGAGAGUCAUUGAUUGGC